UCAAGCAAGUAUAGGUUUGUGGCGGAUGCCUAGGAGCUGUCCGGCGAAGAAGGCCGCGGUAAGCUGCGAAAAGCUGCGGGGAGGAGCAAACAUCCUUAGAUCCGCAGAUAGCCGAAUGGGGUAACCCGUAUGUCGCAAGGCAUACACCGCGCGCGGGAAGAAGAUACUGCGGCGGAGCGAUACUGCGUGAAGUGAACCAUCUAAGUAACGCGGGAAGAGAAAUCAAAAGAGAUUGCGCAAGUAGCGGCGAGCGAACGCGCAGGAGCCUAAACCCUUAUGUAGGGUGUUGCAGGGCCGCACGGGGAUGACCCGUGGAGUUGGGAAAAAACCGAUUUUUAGCGGAAGCGUCUGGAAAGGCGCGCGAGACAGCGUGAAAGCCGCGUAUGCGAAAGAUAUCGGACUCCAUGGUGCGGUACCUAAGUAGAGCGGGGCACGAGAAACCCUGUUUGAAUCCGGGUCGACCACGAUCCAAGGCUAAAUACGAGACAGCUACCGACAGCGAAGAGUACCGUGAGGGAACGGCGAAAAGAACCCCGGUGAGGGGAGUGAAAGAGAACCUGAAACCGCAAACCGACAAGAUGUCACGGCGCGUGAGCGUUGUGGCGUGUCUUUUGUAGAAUAAACCUGCGAGUUGCGAUGCGCGGCGAGGCUAAGGGUUGGGAGAUCCGGAGCCGGAGCGAAAGCGAGUGUGAGAAGUGCGAGAAGUCGCGUGUCGCAGACCCGAAGCCAAGGUGAUCUAAUUAUGGGCAGGCUGAAGGCAGGGUGAAACCUGUUGGAGGGCCGAACAGUAAUCUGUUAAAAAAGGUAGUGAUGACCUGUGAUUAGGAGUGAAAGGCUAAACAAACCUGGAAAUAGCUGGCUCUCCCCGAAAUGCCUUUAGGGACAGCCUCAUGCAAAGCGGAAGGAGGUAAAGCACCGGAUGGGAUAGGGGGCGUCACAGUCUACCGACACCAAUCGAACUCAGAAUGCCAUCCGCCAACGCAUGGGAGUGAGACUGUGUGCUCCAAGGUUCAUAGUCGAGAGGGAAACAGCCCGGACCGACGGCAAAGGUCCCAAAAUAACGCUCAGUGUGAAAUGAGGUGCGUUUGCACAGACAGCCAGGAGGUUGGCUCAGAAGCAGCCAUUCCUUAAAAGAGUGCGUAACAGCUCACUGGUCGAGCAGGCGUGCGCAGACAAUGUAACGGGGCUAAGCGUUAUACCGAAGCCGCGGGUCCGCAUCUUGUGAUGCGGGCGGUAGGGGAGCAUUGCGCUAACCGAAGAAGGCGUACCUGUGAGGGGCGCUGGAGGAAGCGGAAGAGAGAAUGCAGGCACAAGUAACGAAAAGACGGGUGAGAUUCCCGUCCGCCGAAAGCCUGAGGAUUCCCGGGUAAAGGCAAUCUGCCCGGGGUAAGUCGGCCCCUAAGGCGAGGACGAAAGUCGUAGUCGAUGGGAAAUCGGUUCAAAAUCCGAUACCCGGCUCAGUUUUGAAGGCAGGACGCAUGAGGUGAAAUCCGGCAGAAGAACGGUAGUUUCUGUCCAAGCGGUAAGGUGUUGAGAGGGCGGUUAAAAGAGCCCUUGAGCUGAGCCGUUACGGGGAGCGGAGCGCAGGCGAAGCGAAGCGGACGUAAUCAGGGUGCCGGGAAAUACUGUCUAAAGUUAGGCUGAGUCGGACCGUACCGGAAACGGACACACGCAGGCAGGAUGAGUAAUCUAAGGCGCACGAGCGACCCCGCGUUAAGGAACUCGGCAAAAAGCACACGUAACUUCGGAAGAAGUGUGGCUCACGCUGAUAAGGAUGUGAGCGGCAGAAAGCAGGCCCAGGCGACUGUUUAUCAAAAACACAGCCAUCUGCGAACCAGUAAUGGGACGUAUAGGUGGUGACACCUGCCCGGUACCGGAAGGUUAAGGGGAGGGGUUAGCAGCAAUGCGAAGCUCCGAACCGAAGCCCCGGCAAACGGCGGCCGUAACUAUAACGGUCCUAAGGUAGCGAAAUUCCUUGUCGGGUAA
rnacentral:rRNA from 1 species